AUGAAGGCGGGCUGGGGACAAAAUACAGACACAAGAUCCCACGUCACUUUGGUCUUGGUAGUUAGGGGGGUGUUAAGAAAUAAAUUAAGAAAGCACGAGGAAUUAUUUGUGACUCUCAUAGUACAGUCUCAGAUUUUCCUAGAGACAACCCCAGCCCAAAGUCACUGGGUGAACCUGUCUUGGGGCAGGAACGUCUCUACCCUGUCACGCUGGUUUGCAGAGACCACCUCCCCUCUGCCUGAGCACCCCUUUCCUCUCCAACCAAGCCAAGCCCGUCGGGGGAGGCGUGGAGGGGCAGGACACCAGGAAGCAGCAGCAGCAGCCAGAGAGGGGGGAGCUGAAGCCGCGUCUCAGACGAGGGCAUCAGAGAUGGCAUUCACAGCAAGUUCUCCUUUCCUCAAACUGUUUCAGGACAAGAGGGGCAGCACACUUAAAUAUCCACACAUCUCUUCAUUUAAAAACAGCACUUCUUUAUUUCAGAGGAAAAAAAAAAAAAAGACCCUCCCAACCCUUUCCAAAAAAACCCAAUAAUAAUAAUAACAAUAAUAAAAAAUCCUAUUAGAAACCAUAAGGAAGCACUGAGAGUUUGAGUAUUACAUUCUUCAAGUAUGCUGUUCGGAUUUUUGUUUGUUUGUUUUUAAGUUGGUGACUAUACACAUCUUUUAAAAAACCUUAAAAGUCGGCCAUGGGAUUUGUUUAAAAUUAAGUAGUUAGAGGGCUACUUCAAAAUACUGUAGUAGGACUGUGCAGUGAUCCUUGGGGUGUGAUGUCCUCUUUCGUAUCCUAGCAAAGGUUAUGGGACCAGGCUCCAAACUGAUCAUAUUUCCAGGGUUAGCUUGAGUGGCCAGCUUGGGUGAGAAAGCCAGGAGAUCCACGUGUUCUUCCACGGACAAGGAAAAUCCACCCGGCGCAGAAACUCAGACAUGGAAUGUGGUAGGACUUCACAGUAAAGUUAGUCUGGGAUGGGGAGAGGUGGUGAGCCCAGACAAGGCAGGGUGUUAGGAUCAACUGGUUUCCCUAGUCAGGUGUUCGCACAUCUUUUUAGUGGGUUUUAGUGCAGUCCUUCAAGCCACAAUUUAGAAUGCCCUUCAGUGUGCUCCAGAGGGUGGGUUCAUGUGAAAGGACUGUUUUCAGAUUUGCAUCCCAAGGAAAAUCAUGCUACAUAAAAGUGAUCCAAGAUUGUUGCCCAAAAAACUUCUUGGAUAAAAUCUAAAAAAUACUAUUGCAAUUGCGUCUUUUGAGGAAGAAGAAGAAGAAAAAAAAACAUUAUUCUAAAUGUAAACAGAUUCACUCAACUCUUGUUGCUGUAGAAAACUCCAGAGGAGGGAAGUGGCCGUCUACAUCUUCGCUGCAUGCACUCGCCGGAGGGGAGGGGAGCACUG
rnacentral:lncRNA from 1 species